rnacentral:rRNA from 1 species
GCUCGUGGAUCGAUGAAGACCGCAGCUAAAUGCGCGUCAGAAUGUGAACACAUGAACACCGACAAGUUGAACGCAUAUUGCACACUGUACAACAGUACGAUGUACACAUUUUUGAGUGCCUAUAUUUAUCCAUUCAACUGUACGUGCGUGCGCGUCCCGCCACAGCGCUGGCGCGAGGACAGUCGCACCACGUACGCGCAGUGACGUUUUCCUGGGCCUCAGUAAAAUGUUGAAGAUAAUCAGGCGCGCCCCACCCAGGUGCGGUUGAUGAAUACAUCCCUUAGACCAACGCGCAUGGUUAUGUUGUAUUUCAUCGGCAGGCCAGCCGGCCACCGCCAACCAGUAGGCCUCAAAUAAUGUGUGACUACCCCCUAAAUUUAAGCA